rnacentral:piRNA from 1 species
UCUAUCGCACUCACAACUAAU